rnacentral:rRNA from 1 species
UACGUAGGUGGCAAGCGUUGUCCGGAAUUAUUGGGCGUAAAGCGCGCGCAGGCGGCUUCUUAAGUCUGAUGUGAAAUCUUGCGGCUCAACCGCAAGCGGUCAUUGGAAACUGGGAGGCUUGAGUGCAGAAGAGGAGAGUGGAAUUCCACGUGUAGCGGUGAAAUGCGUAGAGAUGUGGAGGAACACCAGUGGCGAAGGCGGCUCUCUGGUCUGUAACUGACGCUGAGGCGCGAAAGCGUGGGGAGCGAACAGG